GUUUCCAGUAUGUUACAGCUUUACUAGGAUUGCUUGUGCCUGACAUGCACAGUAAAGGAUUACCUGCAGUUCAGGAUAAUUGGAACAGCCUUUCACCAACUUCUUUGGCUUUUAAACCUUAACCGCUCUACACUUUGUCCACCUGCUCCAAUGUAUAGAUGGGAUCAGAUGUUGAGAUGAAAGCAUGACUCACCACCUUCCACUGCUUCCACUCCGUAUGCUGGUCCCCACUCAUUUUUCCUGACACAUCGUGCUGAUGAAGGGGAUGACAGCCUGUUCCCCACACUGUGGUCAUCAGUGUGCUGCAGCUGCUUCUGGAAGUAUA